UACAGAGGUCCCAAGCGUUGUUCGGAUUUAUUGGGCGUAAAGGGUGCGUAGGCGGCGGAGUAAGUUGGGUGUGAAAUCCCGGGGCUCAACCUCGGAAUUGCAUUCAAUACUGCUUCGCUAGAGUACUGGAGAGGAGGCUGGAAUUUACGGUGUAGCAGUGAAAUGCGUAGAUAUCGGAAGGAACAUCAGUGGCGAAAGCGACUUCCUGGACCAAUACUGACGCUCAUGUGCGAAAGCGUGGGGAGCAAACAGG
rnacentral:rRNA from 1 species